CGCCCGGUAUCCGAAUUUGGCAUAGGAACCUGACUUAGAAUCAGGGAUUUGUGGGUUCGAGUCCCACCUGGGCGA
rnacentral:tRNA from 1 species